rnacentral:rRNA from 1 species
CCCUUAGAUGUUCUGAGCCGCACGCGCGCUACACUGACGAAUGCAACGAGCUUAUAACCUUGGCCGAAAGGUCUGGGUAAUCUCCAAAUUUCGUCGUGAUGGGGAUAGAUUAUUGCAAUUAUUAAUCUUCAACGAGGAAUGCCUAGUAAGCGCAAGUCAUCAGCUUGCGUUGAUUACGUCCCUGCCCUUUGUACACACCGCCCGUCGCUCCUACCGAUUGAAUGGUCCGGUGAAGCGUUCGGACCGUGGCCUUUGGACGGUUCGCCGUCUGUUGGCUGCGGGAAGUUCGUUAAACCUUAUCAUUUAGAGGAAGGAGAAGUCGUAACA